GCGAAUAGACGUGUUUCAUAUAUAACCCGAAAAUAUAAAAGUAGCGACGAGGAUAAAAGUGUAAAAAAAAUAAAUAAAAGACCUUUAGUGAUAUAAAAGAGAGUGAUUAUAUCAGUCAAGUUUUUUUUUUCAAAUAAAUAGUUUGGUUGUACCAAGUGGAAGAUCCUUCCAGAAGAUUUCUGCCACAUAGGACAAAGAGACAAGCAGCAUUUUUUUUUCUACACGACUGCAGAAAAACAGCAGGAAAGGUUUCAACUGUUCCUGUGCGACUGCAGAUAAUAAACGAUUUUUUGCUGACAAAAUUGCAUGGAGGAUACAGGAAAUUCCUGAGGAGGAUUCGUUCGGGUACAGACUUCAAUUUUGGUGACUACUGGAAACGUGCAAAUCCAAUAGAAACCAAUUAAGGGUAUCAAAGGAUACGCGUUCGAAAACGGCAAACAACGUAGCGAUUACAACUUCAUCAGAAGUUCAAGACAUGAUCCGAAUUAGAGAUGAAGAAGAAUUCAGGGGAUUCCCUGAGGAUCCUGUCAGAAGGAAUAGAAAACGAAAAGUGCUAAUGCCAGAAUAUCUCCGGCGUUCGAAAAGAAGAAGAACUGCAAAGGCAGACAGUGAUUUUAUAUAUAUUUGAAAGUGCUAAUAGAAUAUGGAAAUGAAUUGUAUUGAAUUGAUAGCUGUAAAAAGAAAUAUUAUUAAAUAUUCGUAGAGAAACAAUAUGAGUAGGUAUAGGUUGAUAAAUAUCAAUGAACUGAAUUAGUUUUCCUCUCAAAUUAAGGGGAAAGAGCUGUAGCAUACGCUGAAUGCUGUGAGUUGGCAGAAAAGUAUUGUAAACCAGGCUGAACGUUCUAUAGCUGAAAUGUCAAAAUAAAUCGAGAGCUGAAGUCUCUUGAGUUGGAAAGUCAACGCGAAUAGACGUGUUUCAUAUAUAACCUGAAAAUAUAAAAAAAGAUUGAUUAAGCAUCGUGGCGGCGGCUCGAAAAUUUUGAUAAAUGAUAGUAUGCAAUCUUGAUUCAGAAAAACUAUG